rnacentral:tRNA from 1 species
AGUUAAUGAACUUGUAAAAGUAUUUAUUUUGAAAAUAAAAAAAAGAGAAAAUACUCUAUUAGCUU